rfam:Ornithorhynchus anatinus chromosome 11, whole genome shotgun sequence.
AGCAGCGUGGCCCAGUGGAAAGAGCAUGGGCUUGGGAGUCAGAGGUUGUGGGUUCGAAUCCCAUCUCUGCCA